CCCAUAAAGGAGCCGAAUGAAACAAAAAUUUCAUAUUCCCAAGCUAACGAUGCGGGUUCGAUUCCCGCUACCCGCU
rnacentral:tRNA from 1 species